rnacentral:rRNA from 1 species
CGAGUGCUUGCACUCAAUUGGAAAGAGGAGUGGCGGACGGGUGAGUAACACGUGGGUAACCUACCCAUCAGAGGGGGAUAACACUUGGAAACAGGUGCUAAUACCGCAUAACAGUUUAUGCCGCAUGGCAUAAGAGUGAAAGGCGCUUUCGGGUGUCGCUGAUGGAUGGACCCGCGGUGCAUUAGCUAGUUGGUGAGGUAACGGCUCACCAAGGCCACGAUGCAUAGCCGACCUGAGAGGGUGAUCGGCCACACUGGGACUGAGACACGGCCCAGACUCCUACGGGAGGCAGCAGUAGGGAAUCUUCGGCAAUGGACGAAAGUCUGACCGAGCAACGCCGCGUGAGUGAAGAAGGUUUUCGGAUCGUAAAACUCUGUUGUUAGAGAAGAACAAGGACGUUAGUAACUGAACGUCCCCUGACGGUAUCUAACCAGAAAGCCACGGCUAACUACGUGCCAGCAGCCGCGGUAAUACGUAGGUGGCAAGCGUUGUCCGGAUUUAUUGGGCGUAAAGCGAGCGCAGGCGGUUUCUUAAGUCUGAUGUGAAAGCCCCCGGCUCAACCGGGGAGGGUCAUUGGAAACUGGGAGACUUGAGUGCAGAAGAGGAGAGUGGAAUUCCAUGUGUAGCGGUGAAAUGCGUAGAUAUAUGGAGGAACACCA